rnacentral:rRNA from 1 species
UACGUAGGUGGCAAGCGUUGUCCGGAAUUAUUGGGCGUAAAGCGCGCGCAGGCGGUCCUUUAAGUCUGAUGUGAAAGCCCACGGCUCAGCCGUGGAGGGUCAUUGGAAACUGGGGGACUUGAGUGCAGAAGAGGAAAGCGGAAUUCCACGUUGUAGCGGUGAAAUGCGUAGAGAUGUGGAGGAACACCAGUGGCGAAGGCGGUUCUCUGGGACGGUACUGACGCUGAGACGCGAAAGCGUGGGGAGCGAACAGG